CAGCAGCCACGGGAAUACGGAGGGUGCAAGCGUUAAUCGGAAUUACUGGGCGUAAAGCGCACGCAGGCGGUCUGACAAGUCAGAUGUGAAAUCCCCGGGCUUAACCUGGGAACUGCAUUUGAAACUGUCAGGCUGGAGUCUUGUAGAGGGGGGUAGAAUUCCAGGUGUAGCGGUGAAAUGCGUAGAGAUCUGGAGGAAUACCGGUGGCGAAGGCGGCCCCCUGGACAAAGACUGACGCUCAGGUGCGAAAGCGUGGGGAGCAAACAGGAUUAGAUACCCCAGUAGUCCCUGUCUCUUAUAC
rnacentral:rRNA from 1 species